rnacentral:rRNA from 1 species
UACGUAGGGUGCAAGCGUUGUCCGGAAUUAUUGGGCGUAAAGAGCUCGUAGGCGGUCUGUCGCGUCUGCUGUGAAAACCUAGGGCUUAACCCUGGGCCUGCAGUGGGUACGGGCAGACUAGAGUGCGGUAGGGGAGAACGGAAUUCCUGGUGUAGCGGUGAAAUGCGCAGAUAUCAGGAGGAACACCGGUGGCGAAGGCGGUUCUCUGGGCAUUACCUGACGCUGAGGAGCGAAAGUGUGGGGAGCGAACAGG